rnacentral:tRNA from 1 species
GACAGUUUGGCCAAGUGGUCUAUCGCGUCAAAUUUAGGCCCAACUCUGCAAGGAAGUGGGUUCAAAUCCCACAGCUAUCA